GUGCACCUACCGACACGGGUGAGGUAUUGACUCAACUCGUGAAAGUUAAGGUAAGAACAUAUAUUACUACUGACAUUGGGUGGCGUGUUCCUUUAAACACCUUUCACGUCUUUUCUAUCACCAAACCGAGUAUGUUCUAUCACAUCCAAUCGACAAUUUUGUGGUGCUUUCAAUAGUAUUGAAGACUGUUUUGGUGAGUUUCACUUUAUUUCCUAAAGUAAAAGUGUAGGCUAUCUGUAAUACUGAGUUCAAUGAAGAUAUUACAGAACAUGCUAGCUGCUAACUGUAUAAAACCAUCACCAUUACCCAAAUACAGCUCAGUUCUGUAAGUGUUUUUAUUUUUUUCUGAUGUUUUUAUGUUAGAAAGGGAAAUGUGUUUAAGAUUAUUCCCUAUCUUUUGACAUUUCGUGGAUUAUUUUACGGUUAAAUAACAUUAUGUUAACUUAGCGUUUUGUGAGACCGUUUGGUGUUGCCAUGGCGAUACAGUCAGUGGCGAGGGAAAUGGCAUGUACUAACAUUAUUUACUGAGUGUUUUAUUUACUUUUAUGGCCUGUUGUGCAGAAGCUAUCAUGAAAUGGAAGCCAGGGCUGGAAGAGGAGGUGGAGCUCCUAAAACAUGCCCCUGCAGCCCACACCAAAAGUUUAAAGGGUCGGAUGGAACAGCAGGUGGAAGACCAUCCGCAAAAUUGAAUUUCCACAUUAUUUUAAAUAAAAUAU